AACGCUAGCUACAGGCUUAACACAUGCAAGUCGAGGGGCAGCAUUUUAGUUUGCUUGCAAACUGAAGAUGGCGACCGGCGCACGGGUGAGUAACACGUAUCCAACCUGCCGAUAACUCUGGAAUAGCCUUUCGAAAGAAAGAUUAAUACCGGAUGGCAUACGAAUAUCGCAUGAUAUUUUUAUUAAAGAAUUUCGGUUAUCGAUGGGGAUGCGUUCCAUUAGUUUGUUGGCGGGGUAACGGCCCACCAAGACAACGAUGGAUAGGGGUUCUGAGAGGAAGGUCCCCCACAUUGGAACUGAGACACGGUCCAAACUCCUACGGGAGGCAGCAGUGAGGAAUAUUGGUCAAUGGGCGAGAGCCUGAACCAGCCAAGUAGCGUGAAGGAUGAAGGCUCUAUGGGUCGUAAACUUCUUUUAUAUGGGAAUAAAGUUUUCCACGUGUGGAAUUUUGUAUGUACCAUAUGAAUAAGGAUCGGCUAACUCCGUGCCAGCAGCCGCGGUAAUACGGAGGAUCCGAGCGUUAUCCGGAUUUAUUGGGUUUAAAGGGAGCGUAGGUGGAUUGUUAAGUCAGUUGUGAAAGUUUGCGGCUCAACCGUAAAAUUGCAGUUGAAACUGGCAGUCUUGAGUACAGUAGAGGUGGGCGGAAUUCGUGGUGUAGCGGUGAAAUGCUUAGAUAUCACGAAGAACUCCGAUUG
rnacentral:rRNA from 1 species